AUUGAACGCUGGCGGCAGGCCUAACACAUGCAAGUCGAGCGGAUGAAGGGAGCUUGCUCCUGGAGUCAGCGGCGGACGGGGGAGUAAUGCCUAGGAAUCUGCUUGGUAGUGGGGGAUAACGUCCGGAAACGGGUGCUAAUACCGCAUACGUCCUGAGGGAGAAAGUGGGGGAUCUUUGGACCUCACGCUAUCAGAUGAGCCUAGGUCGGAUUAGCUAGUUGGUGGGGUAAAGGCCUGCUAAGGCGAGGAUUCGUAAGUGGUCUGAGUGGAUGAUCAGUCGCACUGGAACUGAGACACGGUCCAGACUCCUACGGGAGGCAGCAGUGGGGAAUAUUGGACAAUGGGCGAAAACCUGAUCCAGCCAUGCCACGUGUGUGAAGAAGGUCUUCGGAUUGUAAAGCACUUUAAGUUGGGAGGAAGGGCAGUAAGUUAAUACCUUGCUGUUUUGACGUUACCAACAGAAUAAGCACCGGCUAACUUCGUG
rnacentral:rRNA from 1 species